AGCCAUAUCACAUUGAAACAUUGGUUCCUGUAUGAUCACCAAAGUUAAGCAACUUCAAGCCUGGUUAGUACCUAUUUGGGUUACUGCUUUGGAAUACCAGGUGCUGUAAG